GCGAGGAGGGGCAACAUGGUCUUCGUGGUGGGAAUGGAGGAGCAGAGGAGGAUGGAGGUGGGUGGUGGGAGCAGAGUAGCAGGAGUUCCAGGUCCAGGCGACGCUCGUGGAGUGGAGAAGCUCGUCGUCCAGCAUCACCAUCCCCAAUCUAGAUCUGAGAUAGAAAAGAAGAGAAAUAAUCUUGUGGAAUUUCUUAUCUGAGAUAGAAAAGAAGAGAAAGAUCUUGUGGAAGAGCUUGACGAAAAAGAAAGGGAUCUGAGAUAGAAAAGAAGAGAAAUAAUCUUGUGGAAUUUCAUAUCUGAGAAAAGAAGAGAAAGAUUCUUGUGGAAGAGCAGCUUGACAAAAAAGAAAGGGGCGGCACAACUGUACACCACCAUGAACAGGGGCAACACUCACAUUUACCCUCCAAAAUUCAACAUUUUCAUAUUUUGAGGAGCUUCAGUACGUUUGCUCACCGAUGAACUAGAAGUUGUUUUGUGUACUGCAUGAUUGAGGAAGUGCUAUUGCAGAUCAAAGGUGAGCCUAUUCUAUUUUCUUUCUUCAAGCUCAGGUGAAGGUUUAUCUCCUCUUCACUAAUGUUAAAUCUUUAUCACCGCAUUGAUUAGUUGGUAGAAGCAUCUGCUGGGAAUGAAGUGUUACAUGGCUGUGGGUGACAAGGUAUGCUAAGGCCAUCUGCUUUAUUGUGACUUAAGAGACUACAAUACUCUAGGGUAUCCUAAGGUUUUAUUUCAAUUAUACGAUGAGCAUGGGUCCCAUAACAUACUCAAAUAGUUAGAAAAUCUGAAACACCUCUUAAUUUGUUCGCUAGCAGUAUGAAUCAGAGUUGGGUACUUUUAGCUGUUGUAGGAUGAGAAUAUACAUAUAAUUGUUGGUGCUUUUGUGUUCAUUUAUACUAAGAAGACUAGGCCCGUUAGGGUAUGAUUUACCUGGGUUUUUUGGAUUUUUUUACUGCCUCUAAUGAUUUACGCGUGUUACCAGGGACGCACAAGAACUACUUACAUGUGAACGUAAUGAUCUUCUCUGUUCUCUCUAGAGCGUUCGUGACCUCCACCUCUUUGACCACCCACUGCUUUGACUGGGCUAUCUCUGUCUCUCCCAAAAAUUCUGGUUCAAUCCCGUGUCGUGGCUCUACCGAUCUAUGUGCGUAUAAAAAGCCCCCCGUGGCGUGGGUCUCUCCAGUCACGGCUGUGCCCAAACCGCUCCUCACCAAUAGACCCAUCUCUCCUGAUACUGCCCUC